AUAAACACAAAGCUUAACACCAAUGAACAAUGACCGAUAAGACAUAAUUUUAGUUGUUAAUCCUCUUUAAAAUAACUAUAAUACUAUAACCAAACAUAUUAUAACGUUAUAAUUUGAGAGGUGGAUGCAAGUAUAGGUACUUUUUCCGCAACCUAAGAAAUUUAAUAAGUAAUAUUUUUAUAUCAAUGCCCGGCAUUUAGUUUUACGCUGUUGAGACCCCGUACCAUUUGAUAAUAGGUUUUUUCAUAAAAUAUUUCGAUACUUUCAAGUUCAGUUUGGAACGACAUGUAGACGGAUGAAAAUAGCUGUUUGUUUCAUGGCGGUUACACACAUAAUAUAGGCCCUAUAUAUUGCACACAUAGACAGCUAGUGUUCGACGGAAGUGUCAAUGUUUACACGUGAUUUCCAUUUUACCGCCCGACACUCUUUGUGAUUUCCACUUUACCGCAUGGCACUAAGGGGAUUCCUACUUUACCGCCCGCUAGACGGAAGAAGGUCACUUUCCAACGAUUCAAACGUCAUCGAAAACUAAGCUUUCUGCGCAGGCGUGAUAAAAUAGUAUAUUGAGCCGCAGGCGAGGGCCGCAAAUCGCCCAAGACUGAAAUUGCCUUCUCGCACGAGCCACACAUACUGUUUUUUGUCAUGCCUCUGAAUUCAUCGAUCACGGUAAAGGUAAUGCAGGGAUCUAUGCAACAACUAGACAGUAAGUCUAUGGAAACAAUAUUUCAUGAAAGAAACGAUUUGGUUUUAUUUAUUUUAUGCGUCACGCGUAUGGAGGUUAUAUAUUAAUAUGAAUAUAAAAUGUAACCAAAAGUUUAUGUUUAGUAGGUACCGUGGUAUAGAUUUCAGUGUCUGGUUGUGCAGUGGAUAUGCGCGUGAUGAGCGCCCAGCAUUUUUGGGAUUUCCACUUUACCACCCGGAAAUAUUAGG